AUGAAUUCAAAGGAAGAUUUACUGUUGGAAGCACCAGAACUUCUAACUCCAAUGUCAAAAAAAGCCAUUAAACAGACAAGCAAGGAGAACGGCCUGGUGAGGCUUGGGGCGCGUGCAGGAAGGAAGCUGAAUGGGCAGCAGCUGUCGUAUCGGGAUAUUGGUUAUCGCGGGAUCAUCAUCCACGACACCCGGCGCCUGGCCUGCUGUCUUUCACCCCAGCACAUCCUGGGCCUCCCCAUCGCCGGCACAUCUACCUCUCGGCUCGAAUCGACCGAAACCUGGUCAUUUGGCUCUACACGCCCGUCUGCAGCGAUGAGGACAAGGGCUUCGUGGACCUGGUCAUCAAGGUUUCUUUCAAGGACACCCAUCCCAAGUUUCCAGCUGGAGGGAAGAUGUCCCAGUACCUGGAAAGCUUGCAGAUUGGAGAUGCUGCUGCGUUCCAUGCCCGGCUGGGCUGCUGGUCUACCAGGGCGCAGGGAAGUUUGCCAUCCAGGCCGACAAGAAGUCCAACCCCGUCUUCAAGACAGUAAAGUCUGUCGGCAUGAUCGCAGGAGGGACAGGCGUCACCCGAUGUUGCAGGGGAUCCGCGCCAUCAUGAAGGCCCGGAUGACCACACUGUGUGCCACCUGCUCUUUGCCAACCAGACCGGGAAGGAUGCCCGCUUCCAGCUCUGGCUCACGGUGGACAGGGCUCCUGAAGCCUGGGACUGCAGCCAGGGCUUCGUGAAUGAAGAGAUGAUCCGGGACCACCUUCCGCCCCGGAGGAGGGGCCGCUGGUGCUGAUGUGUGGACCCCGCACGUGAUCCAGUAACCUGCCCGCCCAACGGGGACCGCGGGGGCCACCCCAAGGAGCGCUGCUUCCCCUUCUGA